rnacentral:rRNA from 1 species
UACGUAGGUGGCAAGCGUUGUCCGGAUUUAUUGGGUUUAAAGGGUGCGUAGGCGGCUUUGUAAGUCAGUGGUGAAAUAUGGCAGCUCAACUGUCAGGGUGCCAUUGAUACUGCAGAGCUUGAGUACAGAUGAGGUAGGCGGAAUUGACGGUGUAGCGGUGAAAUGCUUAGAUAUCGUCAAGAACACCGAUAGCGAAGGCAGCUUGCUACACAAAAAUUGACGCUGAGGCACGAAAAGCGUGGGGAUCAAACAGG